rnacentral:misc_RNA from 1 species
AUACGUCUUCUGCGGCCACUUUCAGACGCUUCAGUUUGCUUUAGUAAGAGGUUUCCAAGAUGGCAAAGAAACGGGAGGCGGAUAAAACGCCGCAUAACGAUGAUCCAGGUAAAAACGACGAUGAGAAUAUCAACGGGGAUAACGAGCCAAACUUCAGCGAUCCCGAGGGAUUCGUCGACGAUGUAACCGACGAAGAACUACUUGGCGAGCUCAUUAGGCAGAAACCGUCUGAGACCGAUGGGGUUGAAGCUGUCAUUGUCGUCGACGGUGUUCCGCAAGUUGGACCCGAGCGUUUAGAAAAACUCCAAAUGGUGAUCAGCAAGCUGUUUGAAAAGUUUGGAGACAUUGUCAACCAGUGGUAUCCCAAGAACGAAGAUGGCUUGACCAAAGGGUACAUAUUCUUGGAAUACAAAAGUCCGGUGAACGCAUUAGCUGCUGUCAAGUCGACAAACAAUUACAAGCUCGACAAGAUGCACACAUUUAAGGUGAAUUUGUUCACGGAUUUCAAAAAGUUUGAGGAUACACCGGAUGAGUGGGAACCGCCAAAGCCCCAGCCGUAUACAUCGAGUGGUGACCUUCACUACUAUCUCCUUGAUCCUGAUGCGUACGACCAAUUCUGCGUUCUCUCUGGCAAUGGAAUGGCGGUUUGUGUUCAGAUAUGGCAAAAUUCUGCACCUGAACCGACGCUGCUGGAAGACCGACCGCGAUGGACAGAUACAUACGUCAAGUGGUCUCCAUUGGGCACGUACAUAGCUACUUUCCACAAGCCAGGAGUCGCGUUGUGGGGUGGUCCGAAGUUCGAGCAGACGGCAAAGUUUGGUCAACGCGGAGUUGAGUGCGUUGACUUUUCACCUUGCGAACGUUAUCUUGUCUCAUAUUCACCCAGGGCUGAGAGCAGCGUUGAUCAGAAGCGGCUUGUUGUCUGGGAUAUUCUCUCCGGUCAAGAAAAACGGGAUUUUAAUCCUGACGGGUCCUCGGUGUGGCCCAUUUUCCGCUGGUCACACGACGACAAAUAUCUCGCUCGCAUGGGCGAAGAUGUACUCAACAUCUACGAAACUCCUUCAUUUCGACUACUCAACAAAAAGAGCAUCAAGAUACCAGGAAUCAGAGACUUCAGCUGGUCGCCCACUGAUAAUGUUCUAGCCUACUGGGUGCCGGAAGAUAAAGAUGUCCCAGCCAGAGUCACACUUUUGGAAAUUCCCAGCCGCAACGAAAUUCGUAACAAAAAUCUAUUCAAUGUCGCCGACUGUAAAAUUCACUGGCAAAAAUGUGGUGACUACCUCUGUGUCAAGGUGGAUCGUUUUGCGAAGAGGAAAGAAAAAACUGAACAAAAAUACACUGGAAUGUCGUACAACUUUGAGAUAUUCCACAUGCGAGAGAAGCAGAUACCGGUUGAUAGCGUUGAAAUGAAGGAACCGAUUCACGCAUUCGCCUGGGAACCAGUGGGUAGCAAAUUCGCUAUCAUUCACGGUGAAAUACCCAGCGUAAACGUCAGCUUCUAUGGAGUACGCCCUGGACUGCAUCCUGAUCUUCUCAAGAAACUCGAGAAGAAGGCGUGCAAUCACCUGUUCUGGUCUCCUGCUGGCCAGUUCAUUGUACUUGCUGGUCUUACCACCAUGGCUGGUGCCUUGGAGUUUAUUGAUACCAACGAUUUUACUAUAAUGAACACCACUGAUCACUACCAGACCUCUGACGUUGAGUGGGAUCCUACCGGACGAUACGUUGUGACUGGAGUGUCGAGCUGGAAGACAAGCGUCGACAACGGAUAUUGGAUUUGGUCGUUCCAAGGUCGUAUUUUGAAGAGAGUUAAUUUGACUGCGUUCAAUCAGCUUCUAUGGCGUCCAAGGCCAGCGACGCUUUUGACCGCCAAGCAAAUCAAGGAAAUUCAAAAAAAUCUGAAGAAGUAUUCGGCACAAUUCGAAAGCAAAGAUCGCAUGAGACUAACUCGCGCCUCGAAGGAAUUGAUCGAAAAGCGUUGUACACUGAUGAAAGAAUUCGAAGAAUAUCGAUCAAAACGUAUCGAAGAAUGGAACAGCCAAAAGAAGCGUCGCCUUGAACUACGCAACAAUAUCGACACGGAUGAGCUGGACUCAGAUACGAAGAAUGUUGAGGAGGAAUCGAUCGAGUUUUUCAUCAAAGAAGAGACAUUCGUCAUCGACUAAAGUAUCGUCGAAGACGAAGUAAGGGAAUCAUCACGACGAGGAAUCUGUGACUGCGUCAAAACUGAAACCCCAUUCCUUUCCUCACAGCUCACACUUGCGAAUCAGCGGAAUUGCCUUCGGAAGACUGGUUUUUGUGCAGAUGCUCUUGCCGGCAGUUUGGUUGUUGAAAAAAUACGCGUCAUGCAUUUAAUCUGGGGUUUUUAUAUUUCAUCAAUUGUUGGUUUUCCACUGUGUAUAGAAUUCUGCAGAUGAUUUUUCAAAACAGAAAUCAUAUAUUUGUUCUUUUUCUUCUUGGCAUAAUAUCCAUUCUGUUCAAAUUAUUAUCAACUUUACUAUUAUAACAAGCAUCGGUUGCUAUUAUAUGGAACGGGAAUCUUCGAAAAGCAAUAACAUACAGAAAGAGUCAUAAAGACGAAAAUGUGUAAAGUUAUGUUCUUACUAUAUAUCUACAUAUAUGCUAACGAAUGUAUUAAUUAUUAUGCAUAAUGUAUAGUUUGGAGGUACAUAAGUUGAGAAAAAGGUCUUGAUUUUAAAGUUUAUGUAUUAUAUAUUAUGUUAUAGCUCAAUGAUCCUUAGAUCUCUAUGUAUUAUACAAUCAUAAGAAUAAUGAUGAAAAUAAAAAAGGAAAAUAAUA